rnacentral:rRNA from 1 species
GGGGAAUAUUGGACAAUGGGCGCAAGCCUGAUCCAGCCAUGCCGCGUGAGUGAAGAAGGCCUUAGGGUUGUAAAGCUCUUUCGGCGGGGACGAUGAUGACGGUACCCGCAGAAGAAGCCCCGGCUAACUUCGUGCCAGCAGCCGCGGUAAUACGAAGGGGGCAAGCGUUGUUCGGAUUUACUGGGCGUAAAGGGCGCGUAGGCGGAUGGACAAGUCAGAGGUGAAAGCCCUGGGCUCAACCCGGGAACUGCCUUUGAAACUGUUCGUCUUGAGUAUGGGAGAGGAUGGCGGAAUACCCAGUGUAGAGGUGAAAUUCGUAGAUAUUGGGUAGAACACCAGUGGCGAAGGCGGCCAUCUGGCCCAUAACUGACGCUGAGGCGCGAAAGCGUGGGGAGCAAAC